CGAUUAUAAAAAAAACUUCAAAAUCAGGAAGAAGACAGAUCGGUUUUAAGGGCAUAUAUUACUGAUGUAAAAAGACUUGAAAAGUAUUUUGUCUCAUGUCGAUUCAAACAUGUAGGACGACAUGCAAAUAUAGAAGCACAUACCUUGGCUAAAGAGGGGCUUAAAGAUAGGAGUAAAACUUGUCUGGGUUCUGGUCAUUGUAGAGGAACGGACUGCGGAGACAGGGGGAAAUGCAGGGGUUUAGUCUUCUACCCAUGAAACCUGAAGAAAGAUUGGAAAAUUUGGUGAACGCAAAUUUGAAAAAAAAAAUGAGAUUGUAAGAAACUAGGAAAUGAAUCCAAUAAAGAGGAGGGAUACCUUAGAUCCACGAAAUCUUGUUGCUAGGAUCUGAAAUUACAAGUUCAAAUACUUAUCUGAAGGGGCAUUCUCUGUUGAUUUCAUGGAGAAGAUUUGGGCAUCCUCCGGAGCACUGAAAUGACGAAUUGUUUGUAGAGAAGACAUGGAGGCACCAAAAUGGAGUAUCUGGCUGCAGAUGUUUUAGGAUUAGGGUUCUUUUGGUUUUUGCCCUAUUUCUUUUGAAGUUGGACUUAGGGUUUUUGUGCUUUUGUUUGUUUUUUUUCUUUGGAUUUGGGGUUGAGCCUUGUUUCAGUGGUCUUUUUUUUUCAUUUUAAUUUUUUAAUAAAAGUUACGGACUAG
rnacentral:lncRNA from 1 species